rnacentral:tmRNA from 1 species
GGGGGCGUAAAGGUUUCGACGGGGGUUUUGAAGUCUGGUAAGCGGGUAGAGCGGGCGAAAGCUCUUUAAACGUCGCACCUAAAAUUAAACGCUAAAUCUAAUACUAGAACUUUAGCUUACGCAGCUUGAUUUAAGCUGUGGCCUGCACGGGUAGGUACCACGGGAUCCGUCAGGUUUUAAUUAGUGGUCAACGUGCGGUGGGAGUUUCCCGGCCUGCCAAACGUAUUAGGGAAUACCGUCCCGGAUAGCCUGUCGGCCGGCGCUUCGGAACGGGAAUCUGAAAAGACCGUCUGCACCCGGAGAAAACCCGAUGGAGAGGCUUUCGGACAGGGGUUCGACUCCCCUCGCCUCCACCA